CAGCAGCCGCGGUAAUACGAACCGUGCGAACGUUAUUCGGAAUCACUGGGCUUAAAGCGCGUGUAGGCGGAUGGGAGCGUCGGCCUCUGAGAUCCCCCGGCUCAACCGGGGAAGUGGAGCCGAAACGACCCGUCUGGAGGGACGUAGGGGGACCUGGAACUUCCGGUGGAGCGGUGAAAUGCGUUGAGAUCGGAAGGAACGCCCGUGGCGAAAGCGAGGUCCUGGACGUCUGCUGACGCUGAGACGCGAAAGCCAGGGGAGCGAACGGGAUUAGAUACCCCAGUAGUCCCUGUCUCUUAUA
rnacentral:rRNA from 1 species